rnacentral:lncRNA from 1 species
AUUUUUUUGAUUAUGUAGAUUUCUUUUCCUACUGCAGUUUCAUAUGCAAAGCAUGCAUCGGCCACAUCCAUGCUAUCUCCUAAAGCAGUCAUUCUGAAACCCAAUCUGGGGACAGUGCAGACUAAAUAAAAUUUCAUUUUGAUUUGGCCUCCCGCUGCGAACGGGACUGCUUUGUCUCGGCCGACAGAACCAGCAAGCCAGAAAGGUACCGAAACUGGGAACCGAUGUUCCUCUGGAACCAGCAUGAAAACUCCACAAAAUCCCUAGUUUGUCUCCACAGUGUUCUUAUUCCAAGUGUGCUGAGAGAAAAGGCCAGACAUGGGUACCUUCAUUUUGUAAAACAGAAAGAGUUGGAAAGAAAGCCCAUGUCCUUCUGCUGAGGUCCAGGCUGCCGCUGUUCCUGCUGCUACAGGUGAAGAAGGGAGAGUCACACUGUGGAGGACUAUAGAUGUGCUGAUCACUGCUGGGACCGGAUGGCUGAUGGGUUUCUCUUUGGCAGGAGCAUGCUAUCUGCCUGAUUGCUUGCCACUUAAACUGUAUAAAUAUGCACAGCAAAUCCUUUCUUCCAAGGAUGCUUUCCCAGUAUUCUCCCUCUUACAGUAAAGCAGGAUGUCUUCUCUCCUCUUAAAAAACAAAAAACCAAAAAACAACAACAAAAAAAGUUCAGAUCUCCUGACAAACAGAAAGUGAUGUCAUCAGCUUGAGCCUCUCCUGUCUCUUGCUUUUCGGUUCCUAUUCUGAUAAUUUCUUCAUCCCAUUUUCUUGGAAUUUAAUAUCACAUAAUUCCCCUAAACAAAACCCUCACUCCCCAAAGGCACUCUGAUUCCCAGGCUUGUUUAUAGUAAACGUGUGUGUUUGAGCUGGACAUCCUGUUCUACGGUAAAGUUUUAAAUACUAUCCUUACUCAAGUGACAGGUUAUAAGCCACUGAAGUCCCCCAGCAGGCUGUGUGUUCCCACAGUCACCUCUGCAUCAUCUGUGUGGAGAUUAGCCCAGCUUUUGUAACUGGAAUGGGCAAGCUAGAAUGGUGUAGGCCUGAAGGCUGACUGAGUUGCUCCCUUGAUGUAACCAGAGGAAGGGACUCCACAGGGGACUCACCUUGAAGGCAGCACAGAGAUGCAGGAUUUAACCUCGCAAAGAUGCAGUUUCUUCUAUGUUUGAUCUAUCUUUUCCCUUGUAUAAAAUGGGCUUCGGUUCUCAUGCAUAAACCACUAGGUAGAGAAACGAGGGGUCUUUUGCAUGAAAAACGCUGAAUCCAAAGAUGGAUAAACACUUGAUGUUGGAAGUAAAUUUUCAUUUUCUUUCCAUUCGCUGUUAUUGCUUUGCACAAUAGAGAUUCCACAGCCUCAGAAGCUAAGAGGCUUUUAUUUUUGGAUGGGGG